UACGUAGGGGGCAAGCGUUGUCCGGAUUUAUUGGGCGUAAAGAGCGUGUAGGCGGCUUGGUAGGUCUUGCGUCAAAACCUGAGGCUCAACCUCAGUUCGCGUGGGAAACCAUCUAGCUAGAGUCCGGAAGAGGAGAACGGAAUUCCCAGUGUAGCGGUGAAAUGCGCAGAUAUUGGGAAGAACACCAGUGGCGAAGGCGGUUCUCUGGGACGGUACUGACGCUGAGGUGCGAAAGCGUGGGGAGCGAACAGG
rnacentral:rRNA from 1 species